UCGAGAAUCUUCGGCAAUGAGCGCAAGCUUGACCGAGCGACGCCGCGUGCGGGAUGAAGGCCUUCGGGUUGUAAACCGCUUUGGUCCGAAAGAAAGGGUAAAACUUGAUCGAUCGGAGAAACAAGGACGGGCUAAGUUCGUGCCAGCAGCCGCGGUAAGACGAACCGUCCAAACGUUAUUCGGAAUCACUGGGCUUAAAGGGCGCGUAGGCGGCCGAGCGGGUCACGGGUGAAAUCCUCCAGCUUAACUGGAGAACUGCCCUUGAUACCACUGCGGCUCGAGGAAGGAAGGGGCAAUCGGAACUGUCGGUGGAGCGGUGAAAUGCGUUGAUAUCGACAGGAACGCCGGUGGCGAAAGCGGAUUGCUGGUCCUUUUCUGACGCUGAGGCGCGAAAGCCAGGGGAGCAAACGGGAUUAGAUACCCCCGUAGUCC
rnacentral:rRNA from 1 species